UUCUAAUAUGGCAGAAUAGUGCAAAAAAUGCUCAUUUUCAUUAUGUUAAUAUCUAUAUUAGCUUAUGA
rnacentral:tRNA from 1 species